rnacentral:rRNA from 15 species
UGACCCGGUGAGGCGGGGGGGCGAGCCCCGAGGGGCUCUCGCUUCUGGCGCCAAGCGCCCGGCCGCGCGCCGGCCGGGCGCGACCCGCUCCGGGGACAGUGCCAGGUGGGGAGUUUGACUGGGGCGGUACAUCUGUCAAAGAAUAACGCAGGUGUCCUAAGGCCAGCUCAGCGAGGACGGAAACCUCGCGUAGAGCAAAAGGGCAAAAGCUGGCUUGAUCCCGGACGCUCAGUACGCGUAGGGACUGCGAAAGCAUCGGCCUCUCGAUCCUCUCGUCCGCUGAAGAGUUUUCAGCGAGAGGUGUCAGAAAAGUUACCACAGGGAUAACUGGCUUGUGGCGGC